CGAAAAGGGAAAGGGAAUUUGGAGUGACAUCCCAGUAAUUGGUCUUGACAUUUAAGAGGCGCAGCAUUUCAUGGGCACUGUAUUAACACAUGAGGGCUAUCCACUCCGGACAUCGCAUUGAGUGUAUUUUAAGAGAGGGACGUACAAGAGCAUCUAAGGACGAUGAAGAGCGGAAAAUAAAGUGGGUCCUCGGUUCUUUCAAAUACUGACAUAUGUGGCCAGUUUAUUUCUACGUGCCACCCGCGGUCGCGUUUCUCUUUCUCCUUUUAGGUUAGCUACUGAGACCUGCACAUACAUGACAAAGUCUCAAGAGAUGUUGCCCUCCCGUACGGGAGGGGAGACUCGCAGAGAUUCCUGUAUUGGUAUAGCGCUUCCGAGGUAAUCUGCGAACUGUGUAACAGAAAAGGACAAGGAAAACCUCCUCCCCCCCCUCUCGUUUCACAUCUUUAGAGCCUUGUUUACUGUGUCCUGUUACCUAUCGCCUUUGACUCGUGUUGCACCACGCACUCUGCUAUAUAAUAGAAAAAAAAAUCUUCUUUUGGACUCACAAACACCCAAGUUCCAGGAAGGAAAUAUACAGUAGGUUGUCCUAAAAAGGGUCUCUGACAAGAACUAAAUAAGUCCGGGACUCUUUGGAUGCUAGGGUUACUGGUCUCCAGAGAAAGGUUUUUAUUUUUAUUGUCCUUCUCCUCCCCCAUUGUUUCCAGUCUCUUUGCCUUUUGUUAUUUGCUCUCAUAUUGUUUGUCUCUGAAGCCGCCUGAUGACCAGCAAAGGGAUUUCACCUCGUCCUUGAGAGCAACAGAAAUAAACAGAAAAAAAAAAACACCCGAUCAUUUUCCCCCUCUCGUUUCGUAUUGGUUCUUGUCCUAUGCACCACGUAGAAGAAGCCAUCAAGAAGAUUCGCUGUGGUAUUCAUUCAUCCAAGGACGAAUGGAUUGAGCUGGUGACCAGUGACAAGUGGCAAGAAGAUUUACAUUUUUCAGUUUUCAGCUAUCCUGUUAUAAAUAGUGCGACAUGCCAUGAGUUUUCAUUCAUUUUUAAAAUGGAUUAUACAAUGGCAAGAAGCAGUGUUGAUCUAGAUACUGUAUGGGCUGUGAUGUUGUCCUGUCAUGACAUCACAGAUAAAGUUAUGAUAGGUCUAAAGUGCUUACAAUACAUAGUUAUACACUACACCUACUGUACAAAACAACUACAAGUACUACAACACCUACAACAAGACAAAUUUCCAAUUGUAUUCAGUAGAUUACAUUUGAAAACGCACAAAAAGCUUGUACUCAAACAAACCAUUGUACAAUAAGAAUACUGCACUUAGGGUAUGUGUCAUACUGGGACAACAACAUUUCUGGGCUCUAGACACAGUGCACCUGUGGCCACAUGCAUUGUCACAUCAGUUGUGAUCUUAUUUAAGUCCAAAUGUAAUGAUGUAUAAUUCAAUUAGAUUUGUUUUUUAAAGCUACAAAUGUUUCUCAAUAAUAUACUCCUGUCUUCACAAAUGACUUAACCUAUAAAAGACUGAUCUGCUCAUAGAUAUUAAACUGUACAGUGUCAUUAACAGGUCAUUUCUCUGCCCUUGGGACUCACAUAGAAUGGGUUUGUGAGAUAUCUAUGAUAUGUACGAGCUCCCAAGGCUAUAUUGUAUUGUAAAAUAAGCUAUCUAGCUAUUUG
ensembl:lincRNA